UAGGGAAUCUUCCGCAAUGGGCGAAAGCCUGACGGAGCAACGCCGCGUGAGUGAUGAAGGUCUUCGGAUCGUAAAACUCUGUUAUUAGGGAAGAACAAAUGUGUAAGUAACUAUGCACGUCUUGACGGUACCUAAUCAGAAAGCCACGGCUAACUACGUGCCAGCAGCCGCGGUAAUACGUAGGUGGCAAGCGUUAUCCGGAAUUAUUGGGCGUAAAGCGCGCGUAGGCGGUUUUUUAAGUCUGAUGUGAAAGGCCACGGCUCAACCGUGGAGGGUCAUUGGAAACUGGAAAACUUGAGUGCAGAAGCGGAAAGUGGAAUUCCAUGUGUAGCAGUGAAAUGCGCAGCGAUAUGGAGGAACACCAGUGGCGAAGGCGACUUUCUGGUCUGUAACUGACGCUGAUGUGCGAAAGCGUGGGGAUCAAACAGG
rnacentral:rRNA from 1 species